GACCCGCGGCGCAUUUGCUUAGUUUGGUGAGGUAAACGGCUUCACCAAGGCGACGAUUGCGUUAGCCGACCUGAGAGGGUGAUCGGCCACACUUGGGACUUGAGACACGGCCCAGACUCCUACGGGAGGCAGCAGUAGGGAAAUCUUCCGCAAUGGACGAAAGUCUGACGGAGCAACGCCGCGUGAGUGAUGAAGGUUUUCGGAUCGUAAAGCUCUGUUGUUAGGGAAGAACAAGUGCAAGAGUAACUGCUUGCACCUUGACGGUACCUAACCAGAAAGCCACGGCUAACUACGUGCCAGCAGCCGCGGUUAA
rnacentral:rRNA from 1 species